rnacentral:rRNA from 1 species
UACGUAGGGUGCGAGCGUUAAUCGGAAUUACUGGGCGUAAAGCGUGCGCAGGCGGUUUUGUAAGCCAGAUGUGAAAUCCCCGGGCUUAACCUGGGAAUGGCAUUUGGGACUGCAAGGCUGGAGUGUGGCAGAGGAGACUGGAAUUCCCGGUGUAGCAGUGAAAUGCGUAGAUAUCAGGAGGAAUACCGAUGGCGAAGGCAGGUCUCUGGGCUAUAACUGACGCUCAUGCACGAAAGCGUGGGGAGCAAACAGG